AGGGUCGGAUUUGAAAUAAAACCAAAAAGUUGCUCAGACUUGGGCUCGUUAAUGUCUUAACUGAAUGUUGAGCCUGUCUGUUUAAAAGCUUCAUCGCUGGGUUAUACAGCCCGGUUAGAUUACGCAGUACUUGCACUAAAAGUUUGCCACCUUGGGGGGGAGCUUUUUGCUGAUUUAAAAUGUUUCACAAUUGUACAUUGGCGUAAAAGUGCGGUACUGAUUUACUAAAGAGAACAUUGAAUUGAUCUCUAAAUCAAACAUACCACCUC
rnacentral:misc_RNA from 1 species